rnacentral:rRNA from 1 species
UACGUAGGGUGCGAGCGUUAAUCGGAAUUACUGGGCGUAAAGUGUGCGCAGGCGGCCGAGCAAGUCGAGUGUGAAAGCCCCGGGCUUAACUUGGGAAUUGCGCUCGAAACUACUUGGCUGGAGUGUGGCAGAGGAAGGUGGAAUUCCAGGUGUAGCGGUGAAAUGCGUAGAUAUCUGGAGGAACACCGGUGGCGAAGGCGGCAUCCUGGACCGAUACUGACGCUGAGGAGCGAAAGCGUGGGGAGCGAACAGG